GACACCGAGCAGGAGACGGAGGAAGGGGAGCGGGAGGCGGUGGCGGUUACCCGCGCCUGCACCUGGCUUCAAGCCUCCGAUCCGCCCAAGGCAUCAUAAAUGAUGAAUAUGGGGGCACAUUGUAUGAUGGAUUCCUUGGAGUGCUAAAUGCUACUCCGGGGUUGUCCCAAAUCAUUUAUAGCUUGGCAGGAGUAGCAACAGGCAUCUAUUCUUCACUGUCAGGGUAAAUUACCUUCGGCAGUCUCCACUUUAUAUACCACAUGCUUCUUCAAGCACAGUGAGCAUUUCCUAAUUCCUAUUAUACCGCUUAACAAUAAUCUCGAAGGAGAAGUGCAAUUUCUUUGUCUUCCUUCGUACCAGACAACCCUUCAUAUAGUUAUAUGUAAUUGAAUGUCGUCAAGUUUUGUAUAAGCUGGAAGUUUAUUUUUCUGUUUUCUCAUAGUUUGGGAAGAAAGAGAUGCCUGCUUGUCAAUGGUAGUGAAUCAUGCCCGAUUUAGGUCAAUUUAUGGUUGGAUUUAUCUCACCUACAAAUAUGCUUUCUAUCCUU
rnacentral:misc_RNA from 1 species